UACAGAGGGUGCGAGCGUUAAUCGGAAUUACUGGGCGUAAAGCGUGCGCAGGCGGUGAUGUAAGACAGAUGUGAAAUCCCCGGGCUCAACCUGGGACCUGCAUUUGUGACUGCAUCGCUAGAGUACGGCAGAGGGGGAUGGAAUUCCACGUGUAGCGGUGAAAUGCGUAGAGAUGUGGAGGAACACCGAUGGCGAAGGCAGCCUUCUGGGCCAACACUGACGCUCAUGCACGAAAGCGUGGGGAGCAAACAGG
rnacentral:rRNA from 1 species